AGUUCAUACACCAAGUACUAUUAUUUUAUUAACUUUAAGAACAUGUUUUACAUAAAAACAGGCAACAUCAAAAAGCUCAGUUGAUAAAUGAACAUAAUAUAUCACAGAUGAUUUCAUUCCACAUUAACCUACAUUUAUUAGCUUAAACUGAGAGAUUAGGAAAAAAAUUAGAUCUCAUUCCAGCUUUAAUCAUGGAUACAAAUCGUUUGAAAGCUAUUUCAUUAAGAUUCUGAAAAUCAAAGAUUAACCUAUGCCAUCUGAUCCAUGCAGCAAUUGAUAAAUCCAGUAUUUUCAAAGGAAACAUAGAUUUUUUUUUUCUUGCACCAAAUUGAAACCUUUCAGAAACUUGUUUAAAUGCAUCAAGUUCCGAGACCACCUUUUUAGUAUGCAUGAGCAAAAUACUAUUUAAUUUCACACUCAACUAAUCCUUUAAUAAUUUUCUUUCAGCCAGAAUGAAAAAGGCUAUUAUUAAUUUCCUAAUAAAAUUAAAAAAAAAUAGUUAUGGAGGAUAUGACUCUAACCUUGGACCAGUUUCAAUUUCUUUUUAUUUUUUCUGAGAAUACAUCAAAGAUUAAUGUCAAUGGCAAGUGAGAAAUUGUCCCUAGAGAACUAUUCAAGGUCUUUUUCUUACCACAUUUGACUGGACUGGAAUGAAUUGACAUUAUAGCAUCUUUAUCAUCACUUUUAAAAUCCUACUUCCUCUUAAUACCAACAGUGAAGGCUGUUAGAACUAUUAUUUACUUUAAAUUAAUAAAGUAUAUCACAGACAAAAAUAUACAAUUUUACAUUAAAGCAACAUUAAGGGUCUCACUUCAGUUGACCAAAACAGAAAUGUUGAGGAAAUUUACAGGUAUGGUUUAACUGUAGAGAUCACUCUUCCUUUAGGGAACAAGAAGGAAACUGGAUCUCUCCCUUGUCUCCAAGGGCAAGAUAUUGCAAUCCUCAUGAUCAAAACACCUGCCAGUUAGCAGCUCGCUCAUGGAAAACUGAUCACAUAGCUUCAGUGUCGAACGAAGUCCAACAACAACAACAACAAAAAAUAGAGGGGGAAAAAAAAAAACCCACCCCAACCAGAGGCAUUCUAAGCCUCAACAUUGAAUUUCCUGUUUCCCACCAGUUUCCGACCCUUAAUGUUACUGGAUGGAUGGUUGCAUAUUUGAGAUGAUUAAAAAAUAAAAGCCUGGCUUAAAAGCACCUCCUCCCUCAGUAUGUAAUUACAUACAAAUUAAAGAUUCCUUCUGGCGGUCCUGGGGACCCCAUUUGUUACUGUUUCACAUAUCAGCACCAUUGCGCCAAUUUUGAAAGCACAUUUGCAGUGAUCAAAUGUUUAGGCUGUCCUCAAGUUUUGUUGAUUUAUUUGCCUUUAAACAAAAAUAGUGUAAAGUAUGUUAAUUUACUCUUUGCUUCUAAUCACUAUUUUCCCCAACAGACUAGAAUGGCUUCAUGAAACUUGAUGAUUAAAUAAAGAAAUUCACA
rnacentral:lncRNA from 1 species